ACCUACGGGCGGCUGCAGUGGGGAAUAUUGCACAAUGGGCGCAAGCCUGAUGCAGCAACGCCGCGUGAGGGACGACGGCCUUCGGGUUGUAAACCUCUUUUGGCAGGGAAGAAGCGCAAGUGACGGUACCUGCAGAAAAAGCACCGGCUAACUACGUGCCAGCAGCCGCGGUGAUACGUAGGGUGCAAGCGUUGUCCGGAAUUAUUGUGCGUAAAGAGCUCGUAGGCGGUCUGUCGCGUCUGCUGUGAAAACCCGAGGCUCAACCUCGGGCCUGCAGUGGGUACGGGCAGACUAGAGUGCGGUAGGGGAGAUUGGAAUUCCUGGUGUAGCGGUGGAAUGCGCAGAUAUCAGGAGGAACACCGAUGGCGAAGGCAGAUCUCUGGGCCGUAACUGACGCUGAGGAGCGAAAGCGUGGGGAGCGAACAGGAUUAGAUACCCUAGUAGUC
rnacentral:rRNA from 1 species